AAAAUAAUCCUACCCUUUGUGAAUUUUGUUUGUUUGAAUAAUUUUUUUUUUUAAAAAAUUAUUGGAGUCUUUCCCUUUAGAGUUUGCUUUUGAGUUUGUAAAAGAAUUCGAAAACAUCUAAAGGGGAUGGUCAAUAAUUUUUUUUGAAAAAAGACAUUUUUUAAAAUUAAACUUUUUGUAUUCAUUUGUCUAAAAAUUAUUUUUAUAAUAUAAAAACAACUUUUGACAAUGGAUCUCUUGGUUCUCGCAACGAUGAAGAACGCAGCAAAAUGCGAUAAGUAGUGUGAAUUGCAGAAUACGUGAAUCAUCGAAUCUUUGAACGCAUAUUGCACUUUUUUAGUUUACUAAAAAAGUAUGUCUGUUUGAGUAUCAGUAAAAUAUUCUCAUAAAAAUCAUUGUGUAUUUUUAUGGUUAUGAGUGUUUUACAACGAUACAAGUUGUUUCACUUUAAAUUUUUUUUUUAAUAUUGAAAUUUUUCUAAUUUUAAUAAUUAAAAUUGGAUAAAAUUUUCCCGUCAAAAGGAAUAACCUAAACAAUUUUAAAUGAUUAAUUUUAGCAAAAUUUUCGAAAAAAAGGAAAAUUUUUAUUAAAAUAACUUGAUCUCAAAUCAGAUAAGAGUACCCGCUGAACUUAAGCAUAUCAAUAAGCGGAGGAAAAGAAACUAACAAGGAUUCCCUUAGUAACGGCGAGUGAAGCGGGAAGAGCUCAAAUUUGAAAUCUUCAAGGUUUUACCUUGACGAAUUGUAGUUUAAAGAAGUGUUUUCUGCUGAAGUUUUGGUAAAAGUUCUUUGGAAUAGGACAUCAUAGAGGGUGAGAAUCCCGUAUUUGACCAUUAUUUUCAGCUUUGUGGUACACUUUCAAAGAGUCGGAUUGUUUGGGAAUGCAGUCCAAAAUGGGUGGUAAAUUUCAUCUAAAGCUAAAUAUUGGCGAGAGACCGAUAGCGAACAAGUACCGUGAGGGAAAGAUGAAAAGAACUUUGAAAAGAGAGUUAAACAGUACGUGAAAUUGUCAAAAGGGAAGCGUUUGACACCAGUGUUGUUUUCUCGAAAAUCAAUUAAAAAUGGCUCGAUUUUGUAUUGCUGAGACCUUAAAAGCUCACUGUACAUUUUUCGUGUCUUUUUUAAUGCACUUUUCGUUUAACAAGUCAACAUCAGUUUCUUUUGUUGUAAAAGGGUCAUUGGAAGGUGGCUUUCUUUUCGGAGAAAGUGUUUAUAGCCUUUGGCCUCUGCAGUCGAAGAGACUGAGGUCUGCAGCGUAGACUCUUCGGGGUUAGAUACAUUUGUGCUAAGUUAUAGCUUUUUAUAGACAACUUGUUGACUAUAAUUAGUCUUGUAGCUUACUCGCUUAUGCUAUUUUACCUACGCUUAGGAUG
rnacentral:misc_RNA from 1 species